rnacentral:rRNA from 1 species
UACGUAGGGUCCGAGCGUUGUCCGGAAUUAUUGGGCGUAAAGGGCUCGUAGGCGGUUUGUUGCGUCGGGAGUGAAAACUUACAGCUUAACUGUGAGCGUGCUUCCGAUACGGGCAGACUUGAGGUAUUCAGGGGAGAACGGAAUUCCUGGUGUAGCGGUGAAAUGCGCAGAUAUCAGGAGGAACACCGGUGGCGAAGGCGGCAUCCUGGACCGGUAUUGACACUGAGGCGCGAAAGCCAGGGGAGCAAACAGGGAUUCAGAU